CUAUUCAGAAACAUUGCUUGAAAGAAUACUGUGCCACUUCUGGGAUAACACAUGCGCUUUAUUAUUUCUCCUAUUCCUUGUGCAGUGUAUGAUUUUUGUCCCUUUUUAUUUCCUUGUUUCUUUUUUCUUAGCUUAUCCAUUUAAUUUUUUGUCUCUUCAUCGUCCUGCUGGAUCAGUUGCAAAGUGGGAAAAAACUUAAGCUUUUCAGCUUGUCAUAGGAAAUUGGCGAGCGAUAGACUUUACAUCAAGUUUGAAAAACGGGAAGCAUGUUUUACAAUACACUUGUUAUGUUCAUAACUGCAUUUCUGUGGGCAGCCUCCAGCUUGCCACACCUUCAGUGUUUUCCGUUGCUCAUCAGCACGUUCAGUCUGGAGCUCAGACUGCUGGGGAAGUCAAAUAGUUCCCCAGAAACUCAUUCUUGUAAUCAGUGAUCAGCAGGGUGAAGGAACAAAGCAGCUGUAAUUAUUGCCCCAAAUAUAUUUCUUCCAUUCUCAAUCACAAACACGGCAGAGAUGCAAACACUUGAGUCCAAUUUUUAUCUUUGCUCAGUUCAGUUCCGUUCAGCUGCGUGAAUGGUACGGGAAGCUUGCGUAUUGUUGCACCUUUAGGUCUGUGCAGUCAGUGUAAACCACGCCCCCCACACACAUACCUUAAAUGCUUUUCCAUUAAGGGAGAAAAUUUCAGUACUCUUUGGAUAUCUUUUAAGAUUUUUGAUUAUUUAUGAACAACAUGCAAAGUUGUUUUCCUGAAGAUAGAAUGGAUUAUUUUCCAGAAGUUCCUGCUAUAUUUUUGAGUAGCAAAAAGCUAAAUAAAAAGCUCUGUUUACAGGAUUUUUUUUUUUUUUUCUGGCCAUGCACAGUGCUUGUCCUGGUGUGGACACAGGCAAAUCAAAGUAUUUUAAAAUGUUAAAUUAAUACUAAAGAAAAUAUUUUGAUAGAUUUAAAUAUUUCUUCCUUUAAGACUACUCUAGAUCUGCUCUGAUGGACAGCAAUAGAUUGGGUUUGACCUGCCGGGGUAUUCCUAAAAUGGUUGAUGGUAUUACUCUGUGGAGCUUCUCAAAGGGAAAUAAAAUUGUUUUUUUGUUUUCAAAAGCACAUCUUCUAAGAUGAUAUGCCAGCAGCAUGCAAGACAGAAAUACCGAUUCAUUUGGUUUAAUUAGAUAAUAUGUGUGAUUUCAUCCUUUUGACUGCACUGAAAAAUAAUCUGUAACAAAACAAUGCUGCUGUCAGCUCCUUCCCCUGUGCAACAAGCAGCACAUGACAUCCUCCAGGCAAAUUAAAACCAAAUCCACUCCCAAGGGCUAUUCUGGAGGUGCUAGUUCAGUUCAUAAAAUGGAUCUUGGCAGACACAGACCAUUCAUGCUGAGGAAGGGCAGCGCUUUUAAGAGACAAGAAGGCAGAAUGCCAUAGUAGUCUUUCCUCCCUUUGCAACAGGGAAGCUGUUGGCUGCUUCCACAGGGCUACAGCCUUGACGUACAGACAGGCUUUUGGUCAGGCAGUGGCACUGUAAAACAGAACGAGUGUCUUGGGCUCUUGUUGGAAGCACCAACCUGUCUCUGACAAAGUCCUUCCACUGGGCAAGGUUCCAGUUCUCUGUAGUAACCACUCAAUUUGGGAUGAUAUUCUCACCCAAAACUUGUUUGGGUUAAUUGCAAGGAUAAGAGGACAAUAGAUACAUCACAUAGAUGAAUCCCAGACUAAAGCAUCCAUUCUUCCGCUAACAACUAGGGUGAAUAAAUAUCUGUGCUUUGGUUGUUUUCUUCCAAAUUUAUUUUACUUUAUAGCAUCAGUCUCAUGCUUGACUUGUCACAGCUUCCAAUGCUAAGUUUUAGUUUGAUGUGCUAGUACAUACAUACCUGCUCCAGUGAAGCCUUUUAACUAUUUCAGGGAUUUUCCCCAAAUUUGGGAUAAACUUGACACAGAGAUAUAUUGUGAAGACAUUUGAGCUAAACCAUCUGCUAGAAGUCUAGCCACAAUUUCUCACCUAGUCAACCCAGUCCAUUCAUGCAAGGCUGUGAAGGUUUUGUGUUUCAUACUGGCUGUAUAUGGAGCUAUUGCUUUGAAAUUCAGCUGUUGCUAAUGCUGUUACUAGUAAAUUAUUUUAUGAUUGUGCAUUAAAAAAAGCCUGUCUCUGUGGAAUGGUAGUUUAGGGACUGGGCUUACUAAUAUUUAUUUAUGGGUUUGACUUUUUCAUAUCGGUAAUUCACUGAAUCUUUGUAACUGUUGUCUGAAAUGUAUACUGAAAUAUGGUAGUUCUAAUUAAUUGGGAUGGAUCAUUCCAGUUCCAGUAGUAUUGAUCGAUAAUUUAUUUCUUUCCAGCAAGUUUGUGACAUCUAAGCCUGGGUAGAUAAUGAUUAACCCAACUCAGCGCACUGUACUAUUGGUAACGGUAGUUAGUAGUGAUGUAGUGAUUAUAGGGCACCAUAAUAAUAUUCUAGAGGAAAGGUAAUUUGUAGAAACUACUGGGGCUAUGAAUCAAUGUGCAGGUGGAAAUAAACAAUAUUCAAGCAGGGGGAGAGAAAACUAGGAAGACCUGUUUUAACAGCACAGGUUUUACAAACAUUAUUUAAAAGAGCUACAGAAACAUGGUCUUAUUUUCUGUUCUCUAACAGAUUACAAAAUUGUCAUGGUAAAGAUCUGAUCAGAACCAAACAAGUUCUAACAGGGCAAGAGGAGUUUCUACUAAGGCCAUCAGAUAUCAGUAUGCUCUAGAUAUUUGGUGUUUCACCCCAAGACUGAAUAUCUGAGCUAGUAUUUGUAGAAGGGUUUGUUACCAGUUGUGUGUUUGGGGGAUUUUUUGUUGUUGUUUUGUGGUGUUUUUUUCCUAAGGAUUCUGAGUUUUGACAGUGAUGUAAGUUUUGAAUUUGCUAACCCAGCUCAGCUGUUUGGGAUGGGGCAAGCAAGGCCUCAUCCCAAAUUAUAUAUUUUUCUGACUGGGUGCUAUUCCCAGAGAUAUUUGGCAAAAUGUGCUUCCUACUUCUAGUGACUUUUGACAAAAUGAGGUAGCUGAUUUUUUUUGGAAAACAUGGUUGUAAAUUUUUUAAAGACAUAAGACUAAUUUCAAAUUACAGCGUGGUCAGAAGAUGAUUAAAACAUGAAAAUACUUCACCAAAAAAGGCACCACAUUCAUUAGAGUCCAAAAAAGGGUAAUUUUAAGUUUAAAAUGACUAAGCAUAUUCUAGUGUGUACGUGUUUCUUUGAGAACUGCUGUUAGGCUUAUGUUCCUGAGCAUCAAUGCUGAGCAAGUGCUUUCCAGCCAAAUCUGAAAGUUAAAUGCCAAUAUAGUAUUGUGUAAACCAUCUAAACAGACCUCUGCGAUUGCCUUUGUGCGUUCACAAGAGUGUUAGCCACAUGAAAAUUUAUACUGCUUAAUGUUCCUGUCAUUUUAAAGUAAAUUAAAAGUUCAUUUGCAUUAAUGCAAAAGCUACAUAAUGUCAGGGUUGCAGUAUUAUGAAAUAGUAGCAGCGUAUGGUUACAAUGCUUUUGGGCAGGUGUAGUGGUGCUUCACUGCCUUUCUUUGCAUAGUAUUUUAUUCUUGUGUUUAUGUUUUCUUCAGAUAUUAACUGCAGAACUUGGCUGGCUUUUUGCUAAAAUGUUGGUCACCCCAGACAAUUUGAUCUUACUGGAAAGUUAUGUUUCUUUGAGUUCUUUGCCAUCUUGCAUGAUUUUUAUGCUCUGAAAAGUCAGUGCUACUAAACUUGAGACUUUAGGGUUUGCAUUUGCUUUUUGGUUUUCCAUUGAUGAUCAUUUUGUUUCUCCCUGAAUAAGAUUAUUCAGAAAGAAAAAAAAAACAAAACCAAACAAGCCACCAAAUUUCACUUGUGGAGCGUUGUUAGUAAAGCAGGUAUGCCCUUGCUUCAUCACGCUGGAAGAUGAUGUUUUUCACGCUGUGCUGUAGAGGAUGACUGAGAACAAGUGCCAUGUGGCCCAGCGAUUCCCCUCACCCCCACACCUCUAGUCAUGUUGUGUGAUCUCACGUCUGAAAGAUGGGAGGGAGAGUGCAGAUGAUGUAACACAGUCCAGCUGUAUGCAGGAGCAGGUUGCUCAGAGAGGUUGUGGAGUCUCUGUCUGUGGAGGUACUGAACACCCAACUGGACACAGUCCCGGACAACCUGCUCUUGCUGAUGCUGUUUGAGCCAGGGGGUUUGGGCUAGAUGGUCUCAAAAGGUCCCUUCCAACCGAAGUGACCCUGUGACUUUGCACCAUUCAGACUUUCAUGUUAGUGCAUUUACUAACGAGCAAGGGAAAGCUGCUAGCUUAGAAGCGUUUAGACAUUCUUGUGAAAUACAGUGCAAACAUUGCUGCCCUGACCUGUAGAGUGGGGCUGAUGGCAGUUCCUGGCUCUGGUGCCUGCAUGGUGCCAUUGCUGAGCACAGAUGUACGAACUGGGAGUGCACUGAGCAAGGAGAAGUUUCUGGAAGUUAAAAUGGAAGAGUUUCCUGCUUUCUUUGCACUAUAUAGCCUUUCCUUUAAAAGCUAUAUCUAGCAGGAGUACUUCAUACUUUUUUAUUUAAUGGUACGUCUUUGUUUGUAUAGCUAUGUUGUAAUUUUCAUGUGUAAACUUUCUAAAACGGGAUGUUUCUUUAAUGUAGUGGUGUGUUUCGGGGUCUACAGCCUGCAGGCAUUAGAUGAGGCCUUCCAGUUCAUUGACUAUUUAGAUAAGAGCACCCUACUGCUAGAGUGGCUCCAAAUGUCUGCAGUUAGUUCCUUUGCAGAAUUAAUGUUCAUUACUGUGAUAUCUGUUUUGUGGUGUGGUAAUAGGGAAGCUGCUAGAUAAAUUUGAAGAUAGAUUUGUGUAUGCAAUACAGUUUGUUUAAGGUUAAAAUUGUGGAGACCUUUUGAUAUUUAGACACUAUUGUUCUUUGAAGUUGGCCUAUCACUUUGAAAAGUCACAAGAUGUGAUCAAAAGGAAUGUAUACAAAAAGUGAGGAUCAAAAAUGUAUAGUAAAACUCAGAAUAUCUGCUAACAUUCAGCUGGUUAAACAUUCCUCUCCCACUCCCCAAAUUAGUUGAAAUGAUGACACCUCACAGCUACAGUCCAAUCUAAAUUCAGCUUUUUCCUAGUCAAAGAAGAAAUAAGUUAAAGUAUCAUGAGCAAAGAAGAAAUCUGAUGGCAGCUUUUUACUACUCUUUCUAUUAAUGCAGGAGUAAUAGGCAGGAGUUCACAGCUUUAGCAGCCAUCUUAUUCUAAAUCUGUUCCCUUGCUGCUUGAUAAGGCCAAGAUAUAUUGUCUUGAGCAAAAGGGCAUGGAAGAUCUGGCUCUGGAAGGUAUGCAUUUGACAUUUUGAGUAUAAAAUGAGAUAAAUACAAAGAAAGCAUAUUUCUCCUCCCCACCCAAAAAACAAAUAGAAAAAUCAAAGCAGAUGAGGCAUCCCAUUGGGCAGGAAGAAUGGGAUUUUCGGAGUCUAUUAUAGAGAGGAAAGAAAAUAAAACCAGCGAAGUGAAUUAAAUAAAAAUAAGAAGACCAAGAUUAUGUCAGAUUUACAUAAUUGUCCAGAUGGACAAAAAGAGUCAUAUAUACCUGAAAUUGAUAAGAUCUGAUCACACAAAUCAGAAAUGGCAACAAAAGGUGUCCAAUGAAUCAGAAGCCAAAGGCUAGAUGAUAAUUGCCUGGGGCAACAUCAAAGGCUGCUUGGCAAGGCAGCAGCCAAAGGCUAAAUGAAGUUGCCUGGAGCAUCAUCAAGAACAGCUAGUACAAACUGGUUUGAGGGAGAAUACUUUCUCACUUUCUCUCUUCACAUUUCCUGAAAAACCCCUGACACUUUUACCUCUUGAAGGGCAUGUGUAUGACUCACAGCUGGUCCCCACUACUGCAUAUUCUUUGCUUUUUAUGAUACGUGCAGAUGGAAACAAAACCAAACUGUUUUCAACUUUGUGACCACCUCUGGCUAAAAAUUGAAAAGCUUUACAAAGGAGAAUCCAAACUUCCUUUGCUUUGCUUACAUAUUUAUUACAAUUAAUCCAUCUGAAGAACUCCAUGUUUGUGUCUGACGCUCAGCUGACAAUGUUUAUGUGGGGUGAGGGAGAAAUUCUCCCCACAACUGUACAUAGAGGUUAAGAGUGACUAUCUCUUCUCCAGUCUGCUGAAUGGCACUGCCACAGUUUCUAUUGGUCAAAACCCAGGUGUUACUUCAAGCUUUAGCUGUACAUGCUGGAACAACUCACUCCUCUGUCAUUGCUAACAAAUCUGUCAUAGUUGCACAAUUAAGCAUAAAUGUUACAAAAAUAGAUAAUUUAUAACAUUUCAGGGGGCCUUAAAUUAUUGAUUAUUCAGAACAGAGAUCUUUCAAGGACUAAGAAAAGCAGAAGUAGGGAAAGGGAAUAGUAGCACCAGGGCUAAGCAUGCUGCUUGAUGCAGGGCCAAAAAAAUCUUACCUGCUACUAUGUGUGUAUAUAUAUGCCACUCUGAAACCUGUCUUGGGUGAAGUGGCAGAAUAAGAAGGGCAACAUAAAAAGAGUGACAAAGGAAAUAACUUUUUCUCAAUUUUGUGAUGUACAGUACAGAUCUUGAUCAUCAUUAGACUCUCCUGUAAGCUUUUCCCUGAUGCGAAGUUGCUGGACCUUGGCUUCUAACCAGCUUAAAACCAACAUGAAGAAGAUAAUGGCAAAGUUUAGUUACUGCAGUUAUGCUGAACAGUGACAAACUGUGUCAUGGCAUUGUGUUGAAGACAGAUACCUUCUGAGGAGAGCAGAAAUCUGAAAUUUUCGCAUGUGUACUGAAAUCUGAAGAGACAAAAGGAAAAUUGACCGCAGUGCCAUACUGGAAUACCUCCCCAAAGUAAGCUACAGCUCCUGGUGGUCACAUUAGUGUUGUCUUUGUCAACCACACUGGGGACAGCUCUGACACUCAGCCCAUUGGUACAGAUUGACUUCUGUCCACAAGCUGGACUGACGUACUUCUCCCUAAAAUCUUCAGAAGAAUGAUCUGCUUGUCAUUCCCAGAGGAGCAGGACUCUUCAGCUGACUUUCCACUUCUGGACUUCAUGGACAUGGCAAGCCUCCCAGGAGCCCUCAGGGGAAAGAGCAGCAUCGCUGCAAGUUGCGGAGUCAUCCAGGUGAAUCCAGUGACUCUAUAACUACUUGUGUAGGAACUUGGUUGCUUUGUCUGAUUGCCUCACCUGUGAAAGUGUCACAGAAUCUGAAGUAUUUACUUGAUCUAACCAGACCCCAUCGCUUGCAAAGGAAAUCUGACAAGUGGCGGAGAACAAUAUAUGACUUAAGCUGGAGAAAUUGCUUUGCCAUGGAAAGCAGAGACCACCAAACCCAGAAAUCUUUACGAGUUGUGUGUAUACACCAAGAGACACUGGGAGUGCAGCAAUGGGCCAUGAAGAAAGCUCUACUCCUGCCUUGGUAGCUCUGGAAUAAGUGGAAAAAGAUAUUUUGUUUCUGGUCUUUUUUCUUCUUUUUUUUUCUUUUUUUAAAUUUUAUUUUUAAGGUCUGUUGCUUUUCCAAUGCCCAGAAAUGUCUUCCCUGAAAGGGAUAAAAUUUGCAUUCAUUUCUGCAUUUACCACUCUGUGUGCACACAUGUGCAUGUAAUUUUCAUGCAUAAACUGGAAGGAAAAAGUGGUGUUCUAUUUUACAAUUAAGUUUAAUCUGGUACGUGUUACUUGAAGAAUAAUAGCUAGCGGUAUUGACAAUGAUGCAUAAAUACUUUGUGGCAUGACUGCAGCAGUGACAUUGUAGUUCUGCUGUUCCCUAUUGUUACUUUAAAAGACUGAUAGCAGAGUUGGAGUGGGAGUGGGUCCCUCCUUUAUGAAAUGCGCUCUACCAGCCAAUACUACUUUUGUAAUAUGAGUGCAAAUCCCUAGUGAUUAUUUUACUCUCCUGUCCUUUAAAUAACAAAACAUAUUCAGCCCUGUAUUUUGCUAAUUACCACAGCUGUCGAAAUGGAUUUCCUACUUGUUUGGAGUGUGCAUCAGGAAAAAUGUAUCAGUUUCCUUAAUGAUACUUGGGUUUACCCUGCUUAUCAGAGGGGUAAUCCAAGUGUGAUUAGAUCUACUAAUUAAAUUUUCACAAUAAAAAUGGUAUUCCAGCAUUUCCACUACAA